rnacentral:lncRNA from 1 species
AACAUCUAGCACAGCGACUUUUCCCAUGUUAUCAGUUUAUUAUUCUAUCUUGAUCCUUCUCUAGUUAGAGUAAACUCAUAGAAGAAACUGGGAACAGAAAGCUACUGUGAUUUCCCCUUUGGAGGUAGGAAGGAACAGAGAUUAAAACUGUAUCCUACUCUGAAAGCAUGGAGGAAAACUCUGAAGGACAUACUGGAUGAUGUCAGUUCUAAAAAGUGGAGAACAGGUUCAACACUUGGCACCUUGAGCAAAGAAGAAAAAGGAGAGACAGGGCACUGGAUGGGAACAGUCAGAUGGCUCUAGUGUUGAAUGGAGGAAAAAACCCUACAGUUCGCUUUCUGGAGCAGAGUCUUCUCCAAUAACCCUUGAUAACCCCAGAGUUAUUUGCCCUACUCUGAAGCUUCAGAGAAUUUUGAGUUUCUUUUACAGCAUAUUUGACCAUGGUUAUUUGAGUUCACAUCUUAUUCCACUAUGUUCAUCAGGAAUCAUCAGGAAUCUCUUGUUUCAAGUGAUAGAACCCAACUCAAGUCAGCUUAAGUCUGAAAAGAAAACAUAUAGGAUUCUGAAUUACUGCUCAAAGAAGAGUAGGUUAAGCCAUUAGAAUGCCAAGGAGCAAAAAGAUCUCAAAUUCCUGGAAACCAGGGAUAUGUAUAGUAUCAAAUCCUUCCAAUCUCAUCUCUGAUUCUCUCUGCCUGUUGACUUCUUUUUUUGUGCUGCAGAACCACUUUCUCUACAGGUGGUGUAAAACUAGAUCCCAGGCUAUACAUCAUAGAAAGUCAAAAUUCCCAAAAGACCGAACCAUUGAUCUAAUUUGGAUUACAUAAUCAUCUGGACCAAUUGGUUUUCUCAUUGGUAGGGGUCAGGGCUUGUUAGCACAUUCCCUCUUCUGAUAUUCCAAAAGAAGGGAAGAAAACAGGAUGAUCUGUCUCCUGGAUGUCUGCUCCUCAUUUUCCUGCCCUUGAGGACAGGACUUUUCAAAUUAUCUCCCACAGGAAUUAGUACAGUAUCUUUCAUAUAGAUUCCACCAGUAUUUCUGGAAUGAAAGAAUGAAUUUUGCUGGUGACAUUUUCCUUGGAUCACUUAAAACUUAAAUGCUCUGCUGAAAACCAUGAAACUACUAGAGGAGAACAUAAGAAUAUUCUUUUUUCAAAAAAAUUAUUUAUUUAUAUUAGCAUAAAGACAGAAGUGUUCAGAGCAAGUUGCACUGUGCAUAAGUAGAACGCUCUUUGACAUAAAUUGUAGCCAUGCUUUUUGGAUCUGUCUUCUAAAGCAAAGGAAAAAAAAGCAAAAAUAAAUAAAUAAAUAAAUGGGGACCUAACUAAACUCAAAAGCUUUUGCACAGUGAAGGAAAGCAUCAACAAUAUGAAAAGACCACCUACUGGAUGGGAGAAAGUAUUUGCAAGUGAUAUGACCAAUAAGGGGUUAAUACACAAAAUAUAUGAACAGCUCAUAAAACUCAACAUCAAAAAACAAACAACCCAAUUAAAAAAUGAGUAGAAGACCUGAACAGACAUUUUUCUAAAGAGAACAUGCAGCUGGCCAACAGACACAUAAAAAAGGUUCAACAUCACUAGCCAUCAGGGAUAUGCAAAUCAAGACCACAGUGAGAUAUCACUUCACACCCUUCGGAAUGGUUAUCUUCAAAAAGAACACAGAUAACAAAUGCUGGCAAGGAUGUAGAGAAAAGGGAAACCUCUCACACUGCUGGUGGGAAUGUAAAUUGAUACAGCCACUGUGGAAAACAGUAUGAAUGGUUCUCAAAAAAGAAAAAAAGAAAAGUAAAGUACCACAUCUUCUUAAUCCAUUCAUCUGUAUAUGGACAUUUAGGUUUUUCCAUGUCUUGGCUAUUGUGAAUAGUGCUGCAAUGAACAUAUGGGUGCAUAUAUCUCUUUGAAUUAUAGUUUUGUCUGGAUAUAUGCCCAGGACUGGGGUUUCUGGUUCAUAUGGUUGUUCUAUAUUAGGUUUUCUGAGGAACCUCUAUGUUAUUUUCCAUAGUGGUUUUAUCAAUUUACAUUCCUACCAACAGUAAAGGAGGGUUUCCUUUUCUCCACACCCUCUCCAGCAUUUUUUAUUUGUAUAUUUGUUAAUGAUGGCAGAAAUUGACACAACAUUGUAAGUCGACUAUACUUUAAUUUUCAAAAAGACUCUUAAAAAUAAAAAUAAAAUAAAACUACCAUAUGACCCAGCAAUUCCACUUGGGUAUAUAUCUGAAAUAAACUAAAACACUAAUUCAAAAGAUGCAUGUACUUUAAUAUUCCUAGUAGUGUUAUGUACAAUUGCCAAGAUCUGGAAGCAACCUAAAAUUCCAUCGACAGAUGAAUAGAUGAAAAAGAUGUGGUGUAUGUGUACAAUGGAAUAUUACCAGUUCUUUAUGGGCUUACUCAUGGAUUUAUUCUAAAGAUAAACUUUCUCUUGCUCCUUUUCUUUGCUCAUAUAUUUCUUCCAAUAUAGCAGGCCUUCUCUCCAGUAACUUGUCUAACUCUUAUUUCAAAUACUAGUGAAAUUUUACCUCCUAAAUCAUCCUUUGCAAACUCCUUUAAACAUCAGCUGUGAUAACCUCCUACAAAUUUCUAUAAUCUUUACCUCCACUCCUAUGUGCCUUAAACUUUUCUAUUGGAUAUAUAUGUCCUGUCAACCUAGGUAGAUUUGAAACCCCUUAAUGGGUUCAAAAUUUACUACAUAUAUUGGAGAAAAUGAAAAAUUACUGCUUAAAACCACAAUUCCUUCUGAGGGAAUUAGUACACAUAUAAAGAAAUGUCGGGUUUCUUCCAGGCCACCGUUGUUUAUGGACUAGAAAUUUUGAGCUGUUUGGUGGGUUUGGGAUAUAUGUGUGGAAUCAAGUUUUGUUCAUUUUUCAAUAAAUAUUUAUUCAGUGCCUAUAAUAUAAGGCUGGGGAUCAAGACUUAAAAGAUAAACACUGCUCUUUAUAACAGAGCAGGAAGAAUUUGGAGUUCAUGAAGACAGAGUGGGAGAGAAGAACGAGGAAGAGAAGAAAGGAGGCAGCAUGAGUGGGAAUGGUUAGGCUUCUGCAGGGACAACAUUCCUGGUGGAAUGGCCAGAAGCUCUUUAACAGCAGCAACAUUGUGAAGUUCCUGUUAUGGCUCAUCGGUAACAAACCCAAGAGGAUCCCUGAGGAUACAGGUUCAAUCCCUGGCUUCACUCAGUGGGUUAAGGAUCGGCAUUGCUGUGAGCUGUGGUGUAGGUCACAGAUGCAGCUCAGAUCUUGCGUGGCUCUGGCAAAGCUGGCAGCUGUAGUUCCUAAGAGUGGCAGUGUUUCAUUAUAAGUUGCUUACAUUCCUAAGAAGUACAGGCUUUAGCUCUGCACACUUUAGUUUAGACUGCUGUAUUCAUUUGUGGGUUCAGUGUUUGUGUAAAUCAAAGAAAGAGACUGAAUUUCAUGUCUGCAUUGCAUCACUAUGGAAGCAGGACAACCGCAUCAGCCUGCUGGAAAGAGGUCCCAAAUGGAAGCCACACAGCAGAAGGAGGACAUGAGAAUCGAGAGGUAAGCACGGAAGCAAACGAUACCUUAGAAUUCACAAAAAUUCUGCAGAAGGAAUUGGUCAUUUUUAAAGUUUUAUUUUAAAACAUUUAAGUUAUGCAAAAACUGUAAAGAUGAAUAUAUAUAAUCAAUAACCAUGUACAUACAAGCCUAAAAAAUUAUCAAUAUAUUUGAAGCUCCUGAGUAUCUUCUCCAAUAACAUCUCCCUCCCACACCUCUCUAGAUAUAGCCCCCAUUUUCAGUGUGAUAUUUAUCAUUCCCAAAGGCAAUGAACUCUCUGCAAAUAGCAGAAUGGGGUCCAGUUCAGUCUUGUCUACAGCUAAAGGGGAAAGGCAAUUCUGACAUGCAGAUUUUAAAUGUAUAACCCCUUUGUGCAUCCCUUAGUGCCAAGCAAACUGAUGUGUAAUAGGUGCAAUUUAGACACUUAAUAAAUACACAUCAACACAUACAUAUAUACUUAAAUGUACAAACAUUUAUACAUAAAUAAAGGACACUUAGCUUAUAAUGUCCAUGUGUAUCUUGAAUGUUUGUUCCGUAGCUAUUUCAAGCUGAUUCAACUUUAUUUUAACAAAUAAAUAUAAAUCAAUACAUUCAUAAAAACAAUCUUUGGGGUGCUUAAAAAAGUGAAAUACGUAAUAUACUACGUGAUUUCCCUGAAAGCCACUAAACCAAUUUUUUUUUUACACUAGGCACCCAAUUACAGCAUUUAAAACUAAGAGUUCAAAUUGCUUUGGGUUUUUUGCUCAGUUGCAAUUUUGAAACUCAUGUUCACAAGAACAGGUUUUUCUCAUAUCUCUUGGAUAUAAUUAGUCAUAAAAGUACCAUUAUCCAUUGAUUGGGGUCAUCUAACAUCUAACAUUAAACCCUUUUAAUAGCAGACAUCACAUUUAGAACUGGAGGUUGAAGGAUGGGAACUUUAUUUUUAAGUUUGUCCAGUGUGUUUGGAGAAGAAUACCUAAUAUCCUUUCUUUCAAAAAGAUGAUACCAGGAACCAGUGAAAUGCAUCUUUAAACACUGAAGCAGGAAAUAAGCAAUAUCCUUAUCUAAGGAGCCUGUGUUGCAUGAUUGCUGAUAAAUAUAGUAUUGUUUCUGGAGGUGAUUUUCAAAGUCAGAGCUACAUGCAGCUGUAAGGAAUCGUGCAUCCAAAGGAAUCCAAGGAACCAAGCUCCAAAGAAAAGGGAACUUUGCCCUGGCUGUCUCUCCUGCAACAUGGUAGCUUUCAGAAGCCUUCUAAAGUUACCGUGGUUAGUGCAGACAUUGUACCAGGGCACAGAAGAUAUAUGAAGCAGGUGUCAUCUUUUCACAAGACACUCAACCAAGCCACUGGUGGAAAUAAGGCACAUAUGAAGGAGGAAGCCAUCCCUGGCAGUUGGGAAGGUUAGGGGAAGCUUUGGGUUUCAGGGCCAAGAUAUCAAAGGGUCAGAAGGGACUCUAAUUUGAGAUUUCAAGAUGGAUAAUUUUUAGGUGAAGAGGAGUUAUUAUGCCCAAAAUCCUAAAGUUAAUGUCAGGAAGAAGUUAAAUAAACUGGCCUGGAUUGAAUGAAGGAUGCUUGGCAUGUAGCCCAGAGAAGUAGGUAGGGUGGGAAAAGGAGGAUGCAGUCAGAGUGGGGGGUCCUUGAAGGCCAACUUGAAAGCAAACAGUAGGGAAUUCUUUUUUCGUCUGGGGAGGAACAUGAUGAAAAAAAUGGCCUUUGGGGAAUGUACAGAAAAAUUACAGGGGAAUGAAGCAGCAGAAGUCAUGGUUUUCAUAUUCUUUCCUUAUGUUUUCUUUCUUGGUUGCCUCAGAACCCAAAAUGAAAUCAUCUUCAUCUCCUCAUUAUAACUCUUACUCCCCAGCAAGGUCCUCAUAAUCUGGUUUUCAGGUACUUUGCACAGAUCCUUAACACCCAGCAUAAAAGAGUCUCUUAAUAAGCCCUUGCUGAAUAAACAUGUGAGUGAGACAAUGGGUUAUGUUUCUCAUACCCUUCCCUUCCUUUCCUUCUCCCCACCUUCUCUCUGUUCCAACUUUUCCAUUUGAUCUUUUGUGCUAAUUUCUCUCCCCAAUCCAUCCUUCAUGUGGCAAUCAGAGCUAUCAUCCUCAAGCACAAUGCCAACCACGUCACCACAUUGUUAAAAACCAAAACCAAAACGCAAAGGGUCUAUGGAUUCUUAUAGGAAAAACAAAUUGCUGAUUACUUAACAGGAUAAGGUUUUCUGGAAUAUGGCUCCAGCCCAUUUUUUCAGCCUCACUUCUUCUUUCCUCCUUCUACUUCUGCUGCAUCCAAUCCAAUUACAUAAUGUCUUCCUUAACUGCACUGAAGGUGUUGCCAUUGUCAUGAAAUUUAAGUAAGCUUGAAUAUAUCAAUUGCUUACAACAGCCUCUAGUACUUAGUUGCUUUUAGGCAUUUUCUCUCCAGGUGUCCUAAAUACUUCCACUCCUGCCAACUGCUUACCACCUCAUCUCUUUUGGUCUAAAUGCUACUUCUUCAAUACUACUUCUUCAAUAAAGCCCCACUCCAAUAUUGCCCUCAAAUGCUACAGAAUCUUUUCCUUUCUUUUUUUUUUUCUGUUUUUCUUUUUUGUUGUGGUCUGUCUUUCUUUCUUUCUUUCUUUCUUUCUUUCUUUCUUUUCUUUCUUUCUUUCUUUCUUUCUUUCUUUCUUUCUUUCUUUCAGAUCUGCAUCUGAGACCUGCACCAAGCUUGUGCCAAUGCUGGAUCCUUAACCCACUGAGGGAGGCCAUGGGUUAAACAGCAUCCUCAUGGAUACUUAACUUGCUGAGCCACAACAGGAACUCCAUGAACCUUUUCUAAUUGCAGAGUUAGAAUUUCUCUUCACUCCAUCCACCCAUACCUCUAUAUAUCUCAUGUGGCACUUAAAAUUUUUAUUGAACAGUGGCAGGAUGAAGAGAGAAACUCCCACCAACAAGACAACUCUGUAUGGGGCAAGAUUUAAGGAUCAUGGAGUGCCCUGGUGAAGAUGAUGCCACUGGUGUGAACAGCCAUGAAGACCAUUCUCAGAGACAGUGGUCAUUCUUGAAUCAUGAGCCUGAAGGAACCAGAUGAGAAACAGAGAAACAAUGUCAGAAAAUUUAUUUCAUAAAAAAUAAGGUUGAGGUGACUUCAAAAGGAAGGAAAGAGGAGUUCCCAUCAUGGCACAGUGGAAAGAAAUCUGUCUAGGAACCAUGAGAUUUCGGAUUCGAUCCCUGGCCUUACUCAGUGGGUUAAGGACCUGGCAUUGCCAUGAGCAGUGGUGUCUGGCGUUGCUGUUGCUGUGGUGUAGGUCAGCAGCUGUAGCUCCAAAUGGACCCCUAUCUGGGAACUUCCAUAUGCUGUGGGUGCAGCC